GACGUUAACUCGCUGGCCUCUGAUUGGCGUGCAGCACUGGGAGAAAGAACACUUCUCUCUGUUAUUGAUACUUGUUUAAACCCUGAGCUUGUAUUUGUCUUUCUGUGUGUGUGUUAGCGUGUGUUAGGUUAGGUUGUGGUCAGAUUUUCAAUAGACUGCUGUUUUUGGCCCAGAGUUAUUAACACACCUUGAACUUGUUGCUUAGUCAGUUUAAGUUCAACUGGAACCUCCUAAGGACAGAACAGCAAGCAGCUGGCAGGGAUUUAUAGUGUGUGGUUUAUGCUGCAUUUGGUUUAUGUCAAACCAUGGAAUCAUUUAUUUGAGGCAGCAUGUUUUGAGUUAUCAUAUCUUCGGAGCGACUUUGAUUUAUUCCUGUGCAGGUAUCAAGUUACUGAAAGGGAGCAUUGUGUUCAGGACAAAGAAAUAAGCAUUAAAUAUUCAUGUCUCCUCAAAGGUGUUUUUCAUGCUGAAUAAGAAUCAGCCCAACUGUCUGCUUUGUUGACUGUAAGAAAAAAAUGUAUCCUAUAAAACAACAAAAUGUUUAAGAACCAUUGGUUCUCAGUGUUUGUAGCCAUUAUCUUUACUACAGUCAGCAUCAGGUCAUAAGUUAUCCUUAAUCAAAUCUACAGUGCAAGGAAAAAAAACUGUAAUUACAUUAGUUGAGAAAGAUGAUACUACAAUAUUUCAUUUAAAGUGGCAUCCAUUGUUGUGCAACCCCCGCCCUAUAGUGACAGUAUUGAUCUGUAUAAUAAGUAUUCAUACGCAUAUCUGAAUGUCUUCGAAAUGACAUAACUCAUGACUGGGAAAGUCUUCAGUAGUCAGCGGGUGCAAGGGUUUCUCUGCCCGGUUACUGACCCAGUGUAUAUUUUGUAGUCUGAGUAGGGAAGUAAUUACAUCAUUCUCUAAUUAAAUAAUGACGGGAAAGCUUCCUGUUCUGCAGUCAUUAAAGCAGGAGUUGAAAGCUUCAGCCAGCUGUCCAGAGCUUUCAUCUCCUAGAAACAGCCUUUUCCUCCCUAAACGCUGCUAAAGCACUGAACCGAAACGAGCAGACGACCUCCCAGAGAGACAGCAA